rnacentral:lncRNA from 1 species
AGUACGGCUCCGUUUUGGUUCGGGUAUAAGUAAGAACUAGUUAUACCGAAAAUAAAUACAAGAAUGAAUUUUCAUAAGAAUAAGAGUAUUUUUUUAUUUGGAUGAAAAUAUGAGUAUAGGCUGUAACUAGAAAAAUUAUGUUUGGAUGAAAAUCUAAAUAUAAGAUGAAAUAGUUGGUAGUUAUAGAUAGAAAAUAAUAAUUUUACCUCUAUAAUUGAAUUUAACAUUUUAAACUAAUAAUUUUAAAUUAAAAAUUUUAACUUUUAAAUUUUAAAUUUUGAAAUUAAAAUU